rnacentral:rRNA from 1 species
CAACGCCGCGUGGGGGAGUGAAGCUUUUCGGAGUGUAAACCCCUUUCGACCCGGAAGAAAGCCCGCAAGGGUUUGACGGUACGGGUAUAAGAAGCCCCGGCUAACUACGUGC